GCUUACGGCCAUACCAGCCUGAAUACGCCUGAUAUCGUCUGAUCUUGAAAGCUAAGCAGGGUCAGGCCUGGUUACUACUUGGAUGGGAGACCACUGAAGCCAGGCCUCUCCCUGUCUGUA
rnacentral:rRNA from 1 species